CAACGACUCGGAAACUUCGCCUACAAAACCUCAAAAUAACACUCAUUGAACGUCAAUACCCACCCGCACUUAUAGACCAUAGAAUUAAACGUGCCAAAAUAUUGGACACAAACACACUAAGGACAACAAAACAAAACACCACACCUCACUUUAAAUCACUCCCACACAUAUCAACCCACAACCCCAGAUGCAUUACACCUGUUUU